UACAGAGGGUGCUAGCGUUGUUCGGAUUUACUGGGCGUAAAGGGCGCGUAGGCGGCGCAACAAGUCACUUGUGAAAUCUCCGGGCUUAACCCGGAGCGGUCAAGUGAUACUGUCGUGCUAGAGUGCGGAAGGGGCUACUGGAAUUCUCGGUGUAGCGGUGAAAUGCGUAGAUAUCGAGAGGAACACCUGCGGCGAAGGCGGGUAGCUGGGCCGACACUGACGCUGAUGCGCGAAAGCCAGGGGAGCGAACGGG
rnacentral:rRNA from 1 species